rnacentral:rRNA from 1 species
UGAAGAUGAGAAAUAUGGUCGAGGGCUGGGCCUGCUGGAAGAUCGCGAGGCUGAUCGGCAGCCAGGCGAGAGGCGGCACGGUGCGCAAUACCUGGAACAAAGGAUCGAGCGCGCGAUAGGCGAACACACUCUGCCCGACGAGGAUGCCGAGCGCGAUGCCGAAUAUCGCGGCAAGGCUAUAGCCCAUCAUUACGCGCUUGAGGCUGGUGACAAUAUGCCGGCGAUGCCGACCACGCCUUCCUCGCUCACA